GGGGGCGUAAAGGUUUCGACGGGGAUUUUGAACCGAUAAAAGCGAGCAGCGGUGCGGAACCGCUAAAAAAUCCGCAAUUAUAAAUUAACUAACAACAAUAAAGUUGCUUUAGCCGCCUGAUUUAGGCGACCGUCCGACAGGAGAUUACCGCGACUCCUUGAGGGCGUCACUUAGCGGUGAACGUGAAUGCCGGAAUUGGCUCUACGCCGGUAUCAUGAAUUAAGAGCCUAUUGAAAAUUCCGCCUGACAACCGGCUGAUUUUUCGAGAAAUUUGUAGAUUGUCUGCGCUCGGAGAUGUUAUUGGGAAUUGAUUUUCGGACGGGAGUUCGACUCUCCCCGCCUCCACCA
rnacentral:tmRNA from 1 species